rnacentral:lncRNA from 1 species
UGAGUGCACACUGAAUGUCCAUGAGUAUGUCCGGGCUCGUUAUGAUGACCCCUGCGCCCGAGCCUGAGGAGUUUGAUGCUCCAUCCACGAAAAUUUGCCAAACAUCUGUUGUAGUGCUCGAGCUCUCUUCUGGCCCCUGAGCCUUUGGGGUGAGUUCUGCAAUAACGUCCGCUAAAGCUUGGGCUUUGAUGGACGGACGGAGCUUGAACUCUACGUCAAACUCCCCAAGUUCAAUUGCCCACUUUAGUAAUAUGCCUGAGACGUCUGGCUUUUGAAAGAUGUGUUUCAGAGGUUGAUUGGUGAGCACCACAAUGGGGUGAGACUAAAAAUAUUGUCGAAGCUUUCGUGCUGCCACUAUUAAGGCAAAAGCAAGUUGCUCGGCCAAUGUGUACCUGGUCUUCGCAUCAAGUAGGACUUUACUCACAUAGUAAAUGGGUUGUUGGGCUCUAUUGACCUCUUUUACCAAGACGCCACUUACUGCGUUUUGAGACACGGCUAAGUAAUAACAAAGUAUCCCCAGGCUCAAGUUUAGUGAGGAUAGGAGGAGACGCCAAUGUCUAUUUGAGCUCCUGAGAAGCCUUUUCACACUCCUCAUUCCAUUCAAAGGAUUGGCUGCCUCUAAGAACUUUGAAGAAAGGAAAGCACCUGUCUGCUGCUCGAGACAUGAACCUGUUUAGGGCUGCUACCUUCCCCGUCAAUUUUUACACUUCUUUCUUGGUUCUGGGCAAUUCCAUUGUUUCCAAGGCCUGGAUCUUAUCGGGGUUAGCUUCUAUCCCCCAAUGAGUGAUCAUGAAGCCUAAAAAUUUUCCCGAAGCUACACCGAAUACACAUUUUUCUAGGUUGAGCUUCAUCCGAUAUUUUCGUAGGGUGGUAAACACCUCCUCCAAGUCGGAUAUGUGCUGCUCUACCUUCUUGUUCUUUACAACCAUGUCGUCAACAUAGGCCUCGAUGUUCUUCCGUAUCAAAUCGACGAAGACUUUGUUAAUGAGCCUCUGAUAUGUCGCUCCAGCAUUUUUCAACCCAAAUGGCAUCACCCUAUAGCAAUAUAUGGCUGAAUCAGCCAUGAAUGAAGUCUUCUCUUACUCUUCUUCGGCCAUGAGGAUUUGAUGAUACCUUGAGAAUGCAUCUAAGAAGCUGUACAGCUUAUGUCCAGAUGUGCUAUCCACAAGAUUGUCAAUCCUGGGUAGCGGGUAGCUGUCUUUUGGGCAUGCCUUAUUGAGAUCUGUGAAGUUGAUGCAAACCCUCCAUUUACCACUGGUCUUCUUCACAAGAACAACAUUAGCG